rnacentral:rRNA from 1 species
AUUGAACGCUGGCGGCAGGCCUAACACAUGCAAGUCGAACGAGUGGCGGACGGGUGAGUAAUGUCUGGGAAACUGCCUGAUGGAGGGGGAUAACUACUGGAAACGGUAGCUAAUACCGCAUACCAUCGGAUGAGCCCAGAUGGGAUUAGCUAGUAGGUGGGGUAACGGCUCACCUAGGCGACGAUCCCUAGCUGGUCUGAGAGGAUGACAAGCCACACUGGAACUGAGACACGGGCCAGACUCCCACGGGAGGCAGCAGUGGGGAAUAGUGCACAAUGGGCGCAAGCCGUAUGCAGCCAUGCCGCGUGUAUGAAGAAGGCCUUCGGGUUGUAAAGUACUUUCAGCUGGGAGGCGUUACCCGCAGAAGAAGCACCGGCUAACUCCGUGCCAGCAGCCGCGGUAAUAC